AACGCACCUUGCACCCUUUGGUAUUCCGAAGGGUAUGCCUGUUUGAGUGUCAUUAAAUUCUCAACCAUUGAACUUGUUUCUCUGGCUUGGAUGUGGGGGUUGCGGGCUUCGCAAAGAGGUCGGCUCUCCUUAAAUGCAUUAGUGGAAACCGCUUGCAGGAUUCAUUCACUUUUUGGCGUGAUAGUAUCGUCGUCAAAGGUAGUGUUCCGAGGUAUCUGCUCUCUAACCGUCCGCAAGGACUCUAUAAUGACUUGUUUGACCUCAAAUCAGGUAGGACUACCCGCUGAACUUAA
rnacentral:misc_RNA from 1 species